AGACUACAUGCCAAGACCAAGAUAGUAAUAAUUUAAUUACCCAACCAUAUCCCUUAGGUGGUUAUACUACAACUCACUGUACCAUCUAACAGUAUUGUCAUUAUGUGCAUAUUAAUGAAGUUGCUAUUAAUGUAGUUGCAGAAACCUAACAUCACAGAAAGGGGAGAAUCUGGCAUUCCACGAAUUCUUUGUGAGCAUCAAUGUAGUCCAGACGGCAUCUCAUCAGAUGAAAAGUCAUGCCUCCGACGAAUUUACCGGGUCUUGCACUACUAUGAGGAUGGUAUACACCAGGUGUUUCACCAAAGUGACCAGGCUGAAGUCACAGAAAUGCCUUGGCUAAGCAAAAGUAGGAAGGACACACACAGAAUUCGAAAAACCAUAAAACGCAUAUUGCAUUGCCUUAAGCAUGAAGGUUAUGGUAUGGAUAUAGUGGAGGAUAAACUUGACCUGCCUUUUAGUCCAAUCAUUAUAGAGAAGAUUGCAUUCAGGAUUAUGGGAGUGACUCCCAUCAUUGCACGGGUCUUCCACCAAUGUGACCACACAUUUACCCACAAAAGCCACCUACAAGCAUUCAGAGCAGUUAGCCAUUAGCAAUGAAAUAGCUUGCUAUUUACUCACUUUUGGAAAGCACAAACUAUUAAAUAUUGUGUAUUUAAUAUUAUUAUUUAUACUUCCAAUGCAAGUUAACAUAUGUUAAAUAAAUUCACACACAUACGGUGCAUGUAUUUAUGUGUCUGAAUGUGUGUGAGUAAAUAUAUUUCUGUAUAGUUACAGGUGCUGUAAUGGAUACUGUUGGGCAGUUUGUUUUAUAAAUAUACUAUGUAUGUGUCUUGUAAAAACAAACACAUUUUUUUUUAAAAUGUGUUGAGCAUGAAACAGUUAGGCCCAUUGCAGUGCAGAUAAAGCACAUGGGCUGUUAUUAUGGACAAGUUAUUUUGAGUCUAUGCUUUCAUAGACUAAUGUUAUUAUUAUUUUUUGGGCUUUUAUAGAAAUUCAUAUAUAUAUUUAAUAUAUAUUUAUUUAUUGCCAACAUGCGUUUAUUUAAUAUUUGUAAAAUGUCAGUUAUAUUUAUUACUGAUAUGUUCAGUGUUAUGAACAUUGUUUAAAAAAUAUAUAUAUUUUGCUUCUUUAUGGAGCUCAGUUGAAACAAAUAAUAUGGACAGUGGUAACAUGUUAUCCCUUUUCAUAUUUCUACAACU